rnacentral:piRNA from 1 species
UACAGUUUGAUGCUGAGUGGCCUCUCUUCC